UAAUACGGAGGGUGCGAGCGUUGUCCGGAAUCACUGGGCGUAAAGGGCGCGUAGGCGGCCUGGUAAGUAGGGGGUGAAAUCCUGCGGCUUAACCGCAGGGCUGCCUUCUAAACUGUCAGGCUCGAGCACGGUAGAGGCAGAUGGAAUUCCCGGUGUAGCGGUGGAAUGCGUAGAGAUCGGGAAGAACAUCAGUGGCGAAGGCGGUCUGCUGGGCCGUUGCUGACGCUGAGGCGCGACAGCGUGGGGAGCAAACAGGAUUAGAUACCCUGGUAGUCCACGCCGUAAACGAUGGGCACUAGGCGUCGGGGGGAGCGACCCUCCCGGUGCCGUCGCUAACGCAGUAAGUGCCCCGCCUGGGGAGUACGGCCGCAAGGCUG
rnacentral:rRNA from 1 species